rnacentral:rRNA from 1 species
GCUAUCGACAGGCUUAACACAUGCAAGUCGAGGGGCAGCACAGGUAGCAAUACCGGGUGGCGACCGGCGCACGGGUGAGUAACGCGUAUGCAACUUACCUAUCAGAGGGGGAUAACCCGGCGAAAGUCGGACUAAUACCGCAUGAAGCAGGGGCCCCGCAUGGGGAUAUUUGCUAAAGAUUCAUCGCUGAUAGAUAGGCAUGCGUUCCAUUAGGCAGUUGGCGGGGUAACGGCCCACCAAACCGACGAUGGAUAGGGGUUCUGAGAGGAAGGUCCCCCACAUUGGUACUGAGACACGGACCAAACUCCUACGGGAGGCAGCAGUGAGGAAUAUUGGUCAAUGGCCGAGAGGCUGAACCAGCCAAGUCGCGUGAGGGAUGAAGGUUCUAUGGAUCGUAAACCUCUUUUAUAAGGGAAUAAAGUGCGGGACGUGUCCCGUUUUGUAUGUACCUUAUGAAUAAGGAUCGGCUAACUCCGUGCCAGCAGCCGCGGUAAUACGGAGGAUCCGAGCGUUAUCCGGAUUUAUUGGGUUUAAAGGGUGCGUAGGCGGCCUUUUAAGUCAGCGGUGAAAGUCUGUGGCUCAACCAUAGAAUUGCCGUUGAAACUGGGGGGCUUGAGUAUGUUUGAGGCAGGCGGAAUGCGUGGUGUAGCGGUGAAAUGCAUAGAUAUCACGCAGAACCCCGAUUGCGAAGGCAGCCUGCCAAGCCAUGACUGACGCUGAUGCACGAAAGCGUGGGGAUCAAACAGGAUUAGAUACCCUGGUAGUCCACGCAGUAAACGAUGAUCACUAGCUGUUUGCGAUACACUGUAAGCGGCACAGCGAAAGCGUUAAGUGAUCCACCUGGGGAGUACGCCGGCAACGGUGAAACUCAAAGGAAUUGACGGGGGCCCGCACAAGCGGAGGAACAUGUGGUUUAAUUCGAUGAUACGCGAGGAACCUUACCCGGGUUUGAACGCAUUCGGACCGAGGUGGAAACACCUUUUCUAGCAAUAGCCGUUUGCGAGGUGCUGCGUGGUUGUCGUCAGCUCGUGCCGUGAGGUGUCGGCUUAAGUGCCAUAACGAGCGCAACCCUUGCCACUAGUUACUAACAGGUGAUGCUGAGGACUCUGGUGGGACUGCCAGCGUAAGCUGCGAGGAAGGCGGGGAUGACGUCAAAUCAGCACGGCCCUUACAUCCGGGGCGACACACGUGUUACAAUGGCGUGGACAAAGGGAGGCCACCUGGCGACAGGGAGCGAAUCCCCAAACCACGUCUCAGUUCGGAUCGGAGUCUGCAACCCGACUCCGUGAAGCUGGAUUCGCUAGUAAUCGCGCAUCAGCCAUGGCGCGGUGAAUACGUUCCCGGGCCUUGUACACACCGCCCGUCAAGCCAUGGGAGCCGGGGGUACCUGAAGUCCGUAACCGCGAGGAUCGGCCUAGGGUAAAACUGGUGACUGGGGCUA